rnacentral:rRNA from 1 species
ACCUCGGAUCAGGUAGGAAGACCCGCUGAACUUAAGCAUAUCAAUAAGCGGAGGAAAAGAAACCAACAGGGAUUGCCCUAGUAACGGCGAGUGAAGCGGCAACAGCUCAAAUUUGAAAUCUGGCUUCGGCCCGAGUUGUAAUUUGCAGAGGAAGCUUUAGGCGCGGCACUUUCUGAGUCCCCUGGAACGGGGCGCCAUAGAGGGUGAGAGCCCCGUAUAGUUAGAUGCCUAGCCUGUGUAAAGCUCCUUCGACGAGUCGAGUAGUUUGGGAAUGCUGCUCAAAAUGGGAGGUAAAUUUCUUCUAAAGCUAAAUACCGGCCAGAGACCGAUAGCGCACAAGUAGAGUGAUCGAAAGAUGAAAAGCACUUUGAAAAGAGGGUUAAAUAGCACGUGAAAUUGUUGAAAGGGAAGCGCUUGUGACCAGACUUGCGCCGGGCAGAUCAUCCGGUGUUCUCACCGGUGCACUCUGCCCGGCUCAGGCCAGCAUCGGUUCUCGCGGGGGGAUAAAGGCCCUGGGAACGUAGCUCCUCCGGGAGUGUUAUAGCCCGGGGCGUAAUGCCCUCGCGGG